GAUAAACGCUGGCGGCGUGCCUAAUACAUGCAAGUCGAGCGAACAGACGAGGAGCUUGCUCCUCUGACGUUAGCGGCGGACGGGUGAGUAACACGUGGAUAACCUACCUAUAAGACUGGGAUAACUUCGGGAAACCGGAGCUAAUACCGGAUAAUAUAUUGAACUGCAUGGUUCAAUAGUGAAAGACGGUUUUGCUGUCACUUAUAGAUGGAUCCGCGCCGCAUUAGCUAGUUGGUAAGGUAACGGCUUACCAAGGCAACGAUGCGUAGCCGACCUGAGAGGGUGAACGGCCAACACUGAACUGAGACACGGUCCAGACUCCUACGGGAGGCAGCAGUAGGGAAUCUUCCGGAAAGGGCGAAAGCCUGACGGAGCAACGCCGCGUGAGUGAUGAAGGUCUUCGGAUCGUAAAACUCUGUUAUUAGGGAAGAACAAAUGUGUAAGUAACUAUGCACGUCUUGACGGUACCUAAUCAGAAAGCCACGGCUAACUACGU
rnacentral:rRNA from 1 species